rnacentral:rRNA from 1 species
AUUGAACGCUGGCGGCAGGCCUAACACAUGCAAGUCGAGCGGAUGAAGGGAGCUUGCUCCUGGAUUCAGCGGCGGACGGGUGAGUAAUGCCUAGGAAUCUGCCUGGUAGUGGGGGAUAACGUCCGGUAACGGGCGCUAAUACCGCAUACGUCCUGCGGGAGAAAGUGGGGGAUCUUCGGACCUCACGCUAUCAGAUGAGCCUAGGUCGGAUUAGCUAGUUGGUGGGGUAAAGGCCUACCAAGGCGGCGAUCCGUAACUGGUCUGAGAGGAUGAUCAGCCACACUGGAACUGAGACACGGUCCAGACUCCGACGGUAGGCAGCAGUGGGGAAUAUUGGACAAUGGGCGAAAGCCUGAUCCAGCCAUGCCGCGUGUGUGAAGAAGGUCUUCGGAUUGGAAAGCACUUUAAGUUGGGAGGAAGGGCAGUAAGUUAAUACCUUGCUGUUUUGACGUUACCAACAGAAUAAGCACCGGCUAACUUCGUG